UGAGGGAAUAUUGGGUCAAUGGGCGAGAGCCUGAACCAGCCAAGUCGCGUGAGGGAAGAAGGUCCUACGGAUUGUAAACCUCUUUUGCCGGGGAGCAAAGGGGCCAUUUAUGGCAGGAUGAGCGUACCCGGAGAAAAAGCAUCGGCUAACUCCGUGCCAGCAGCCGCGGUAAUACGGAGGAUGCGAGCGUUAUCCGGAUUUAUUGGGUUUAAAGGGUGCGUAGGCGGAUGGGUAAGUCAGCGGUGAAAUGUCCCGGCUCAACCGGGGAACUGCCAUUGAUACUGCCUGUCUUGAAUGCGGAUGCCGUGGGAGGAAUGUGUAGUGUAGCGGUGAAAUGCAUAGAUAUUACACAGAACACCGAUUGCGAAGGCAUCUCACGAAUCCGUUAUUGACGCUGAGGCACGAAAGCGUGGGGAUCAAACAGGAUUAGAUACCCUGGUAGU
rnacentral:rRNA from 1 species